AUUGAACGCUGGCGGCAUGCCUAACACAUGCAAGUCGAACGAGUGGCGAACGGGUGAGUAAUGACUCGGAAAGUGCCAGAUAAUGGGGGAUAACUGCCGGAAACGGUAGCUAAUACCGCCUAAUAUUGGAUCGGCCCACGUGUGAUUAGCUGGUAGGUGGGGGAAAGGCUCACCUAGGCGACGAUCAGUAGCUGGUCUUCGAGGAGGAACUGCCACACUGGAACUGAUACACGGUCCAGACUCCUACGGGAGGCAGCAGUGGUGAAUAUUGCACAAUGGGCGCAAGCCUGAUCCAGCCAUGCCGCGUGUCUGAAGAAGGCCUUCGGGUUGUAAAGUACUUUUGUCGGGGAAGCGGUACCCGAAGAAGAAGCGCCGGCUAACUCCGUGCCAGCAGCCGCGGUAAUAC
rnacentral:rRNA from 1 species